UCAACUUCCGAAAUGCCAUUGGCUUCUCAACGAGGAAUUUUUCGAGCGUUGGAUGUCUGCCCUAUAUGGAUUCUAUUCGUUCAGAUCUUGUUAUCCUUCGCCUCAACAACGAUAUAUUCUGUGAAUAAGGAUGACAAAUAGAAUGAGACGUGUAUAGAAACUACACCUUAUGCCAACAUCAAUGGAUGGAUGUACUCGGAAAGUAUAAUAUAAAGUCGAGAUUUAUGCAAGGAGGAAAAACGAAUUGAUAUUACCUGAUAAUUUCUAUGUACCGUCUUUGACGAAUAAUCUGUAAAUGACAACAAAGAUCAUCGAAGCGAGGCAAGCAACAACUAAUAGAUAUUUACACUACUGCUUCA